UGAUUGGUUCACUUUGUUAUACAACAGAACUUAAUGAAACAUUGUAAAUCAACUAUGCUUUAAUAAUAAUAAAAAAAUAAUGAAGAAUAUGACUGUGGGAAAAAACCCAGAUAUGAAUGAGUCUCAAAAACAAUUUUUUAGAAUUUUUUUUGGCUGCACCCAUGGCAUGUGGAAGUUCCCAGGCCAGGGAUCAAACCCAUGCCACAGUAAUAAAAACACAAAAUCCUUAACUGCUAGGUCUCCAGGGAAAUUCAGUUUUUUACAGUUUUUUGAAUCUCAUCUGUAAGUUAAAAUAAUAACACAUGACAUCUAAUCAAGGGUUGACUAUGAUAAACAAAUGAGAUCAUGAAUAUAAUAGUAAUAUUAAUAAUAAUUGUUGUUAUUGAAAGUUAUUUUCCAAUUCUUUUAUGUGCCAAACCAGUUGCUAAGGAGCAUGUAUGCAUAAAUUCAUUUAGUUCUUAUACAAACCCAAUGAAGUAGGUUCUAUUGUUAUCCUCAACAAGUAUGAGGAAAUUGAGGCACUGAGAGACAGGCAGCUUGUCCAAGAUCGAAGAGCAUACAAUCAGGAUUCAAACCAAGGCAAUCUAAUGACAAAAGACUCUUAAGUGCUACAGUAAAUUCCCUGCUUUAAGAGCCAUACUUGAAAGACCUUGUAAAUAAUACCUGAGAAGUUAUCUCAUGAGAUAUCUGUGAUCCAUGUGGAAGGGUAAAUGUCGAGAAUAAAUUCCCACAUGUGUAAAAGACUAACAUUUCUAUGUUUAUGGUGUGAUGAAAAAUAAUGAAUGUGGUAAGUUGCUUGUUCCCAUCUUUUCUCUGCCUCCAUGAUGAUAACUCUUGAUUAGACUUUGAGAAUUAAACUAUUGGAAAGUUUUCUCAAUUACUGAGUAUUGAUAUAAUUCUAUACUCUUGAAGCAGUGGAUAUAGUUGAACCACAUUGUCAGUAUAUUGAAAGUAGACCUAAAAAUUUACGAUGGGCACAGGGUACCUGGUUUGGAUUGCACUGUGGCUGGAUCUGUAACCAGAUCCCUUUAAGAAUGUUGGACUUUAAGAUUCAAGUGAGAUUUUGGGGGACAAGAAUAUCUCAUAUACAAGCCUGUAGUUCAUAGCUAUUGAGAAAUACGUGUCUGUGUGAUCCUGUAGAGAAAGGGCAAGAAAGCUUUUGUCUGUGUUCUCUAUUUCUUUUUCCUGCUGUUGCUAGACUAUACCCAUUACUAUAACAAAUCUUAGCCAUAAGUAAUAGCUGCCAUAAGUCAUAAAUCCUGCCAAUGAAACACUAAACUGAUAGGUGGGACUGCUGAUGCUUAUGGUAAAAAGUAAACACUAGAAAUGGUUUAAACCUCUUACUCAAUCUAUUGCAGUUCUAUAGCCAUAGUGCCUAUAAAGAGUAAACUGUUUUAAGCCUGACUGAUCAAUGACAAUUAGCUUUCGUAAACAGAGCAUGGCACUUGGAAACCUAGUGAAUGGACUCUGGACUCCCUUCAGUGAAUGUUCUUGUAAGGCUGAUAUCAAUCCAUCCCUUCUUUGAAAUCAACAUGAAAUAUGUUUCAACAGUUGGUGUCUAUGCUGUCUUUUCUCUGUAACCAACAUAAUUCCAAAAUCAACUCUUCCCAAAAAUAUUAUAUAAUUUUAGCAAUUUACAUUGCUACACAAGGCUAUCUCAGUAUCAUGUCUUCCUUACUUACACAAACAAUGAAUUCAGUUUUUUGCUUUCAUAAAUUGAGUACUUGCUUUGUCUUUCAAUGAGGUCAUUAUUCUCUAUAUAUAGAAAACUAUAGAGUGAUAUGGAAGUAAUAAGAGCAAAGAGACUUGGGUUUUUAUCCCAGUUCUUCCAGUUAUCAGCUAUUUCUGUGGUUUAGUUAACCAUGACUCUUUGUUUCUUUUGUUCAAAAUUGUAUAAGAAUAAUAUCUAUUUUUUGGAUAUAAGAUUGAAACAAUCCACAUUAGCUAUCUGAACAUCAGGCAACUUUUAUGAUUUACUUUAUUUUGUCUAUUUGAUCUAUUUUGAUUUAAUCUAUUUUAAGUUUUCCUAUUUAUGUAGGAUAGGAAAAAACACAAUAUUUUACGUGGAUAAAAUGUCAAUUAAGAAUUUGACAUAUGGGAGUUCCUNGGUUUCGUUUCUGCUGCACCACGAUAGGAACUCCAAGAUUUUAUUUCUUUGAAAGAUUGUUUUCUUUCAUACUCUUAAAAGACAAUCUAAAUUAUUUGGAAAGUAAGUGUUUUUGUUUAAUGUGUAAGUGCUAAACUCACACACCCUUUGCAUUAUUUAGUUAAAAGAGACAUUAGAAACUCUGGAGUCAUACAUACAUUUGUUAUUGGAUGAGUCUCAAAUACAUUAAGUGACUUGUUCAACAUCACAAUGUACUAAACUCUUGGCAGAACAGAGGCUGACUAUUGAUUUAGUGUUAUUUCCUCCAUACUAUGAAACCUUUAGUGGUUUUCCCAGGAUUAUAUACUUACUAGUUUCCUGGAGUAAUUAUUUACUUUAGAAAAGAGUUACUUUAUGUUUUUGUAGAUUU
rnacentral:lncRNA from 1 species